rnacentral:rRNA from 1 species
GACGAACGCUGGCGGCGUGCUUAACACAUGCAAGUCGAACGAAGAGCGAUGGAAGCUUGCUUCUAUCAAUCUUAGUGGCGAACGGGUGAGUAACGCGUAAUCAACCUGCCCUUCAGAGGGGGACAACAGUUGGAAACGACUGCUAAUACCGCAUACGAUCCAAUCUCGGCAUCGAGACUGGAUGAAAGGUGGCCUCUAUUUAUAAGCUAUCACUGAAGGAGGGGAUUGCGUCUGAUUAGCUAGUUGGAGGGGUAACGGCCCACCAAGGCGAUGAUCAGUAGCCGGUCUGAGAGGAUGAACGGCCACAUUGGGACUGAGACACGGCCCAGACUCCUACGGGAGGCAGCAGUGGGGAAUCUUCCGCAAUGGACGAAAGUCUGACGGAGCAACGCCGCGUGAGUGAUGACGGCCUUCG